rnacentral:lncRNA from 1 species
AACUUGAAGCCUAUAAAUACCCCUCUCAUCUCUGAUUAAAAGACACAAGCAUAGAGAGUUUAAAAGUAGAAAAACGCUGUAGAAAUCUCUUGUGAGAAUCCUCCUCUAGUCUAAGUGUUAGAAUUAUGUAAGAGAGGAGUGAGUGCUUGUAAGGGUUGUCUCCUAAACCCGAUAAAAGGAGAAGAGGGGUGUAAGAAGGAGGUUGAUCUUCGCCUAUUAAAGGAAGAUCGAUAGUGGAUGCCGAUGGCCUCGAUGGAGGAGGAAUCGGCGGAGUGGAUGUAGGUCACGACGAUCGAACCACUAUAAAAUUGGCGUGUUCUCUGGUUUGCAUUUACUUCCUGCCAUUUACAUACUGCAGACUGAAUCUUUACUUGCCUACUGCGUUCACUUCAUAAACGUACGCUUUCAAAGUUAAGUUUCCGAAAUCGGUUUUCAUCGGAAUCAGUUUUAAUCGAAACGAAAAGUUUUGAAGACGUGAUUUUACCGCUGCACUAAUUCACCCCCCCUCUUAAUGCUGACCCUGAUCCUAACAAUUGAUAUCAGAGCCUCGUGAUUUCUCAGUUGGUUUAACACCCAAGAAAAAUGACUCUUUUCGACUUUCAAGAGGGUCACUCUCUCAUUCGUCCUCCCUUUUCCAAUUGGAUGAACUACACAUAUUGGAAAACUCGAAUGAGAGUUUUCUUGCUUUCUUUGGAUUUGAACUUAUGGAACAUUGUUGAAUCCGAUUUUAAAAGGUCUUCUCUUCCAAUGAAAGAUUGGAAUGAUUUGGAGAAGAAGACAUUUUCUUUAAAUGCUAGAGCUAUGAACACUAUUUUGCGCUUUAGACAAAAACGAGUUUAAUCGGGUUUCUAUGUGCAAAACAGCUUUCGACAUUUGGCACACUCUUGAAAUCACACACGAAGGUACUAGCAAAGUUAAGGAUUCUAAAAUUAAUUUUUUAAUGCAUGAUUUUGAACUUUUUCGAAUGAAGCCUAACGAAACCAUUGUUGAUCUGUACUCCCGUUUUACGGAUGUCGUCAAUGGUUUAAAAGCUCUUGGCAAAUGUUUUUCGGAUUUUGAACUUAUAAAUAAGAUUUUGGGUUCUCUUAAUAAGAGUUGGGAUUCAAAAGUAACGACAAUUCAAGAAUCAAAAAAUUUGAAUACCUAUCCGAUUGAAGAACUAAUAGAGUCUUUGAUGACCUAUGAAAUGACGUGCAAUGCACGUAAAGAACUUGAGAACCACGUUCCAAAGGACAGGAAGGAUUUCGGACUAAAAACAAUCGAAGAGCACUCGAGCAUAAGCUCAAGUGAUAGUAAACUUGAACUACUCAUGAACUUUAAAAAGUUAAUAAAAUAAAAUUUAAAGAACAAAAAAAACGCAACUACUUGCUUUGAACGCAAGAAGAAGAACACACUUUGGGAUGAAUCGAGCUCCUCCGAAAAUGAGGAGAAAAUCAACAAAGGCGAGGUGGCAAACUACGCCUUAACGGCUUUCGACGAUGAGGUAAUCAAAAUGCCUUUAGUUUAUUUUGAAAUUACAUAAUGCUUCUCAUGACUUAUUUUUAAUUUAGUUUAAGAAAAUUAAAUAUUUUUUUGAAUUGUAUGUUUAAUGAAAAUGCAAAAAUAAAAUUAGAUCAUGCUUACCUUUCUAAUGAUUUUAAAAAUAAUCAUGAAAAAUACAUAUUUUAUGAUAAACAAACAAAAUGAUUUUGAUUGAAAAUAUGAAAUCAUGCUUGAUGAAAUAAUGUAAUAAUACUUAAUCUAUAUUUUGAAAUUAUGCUUGAUGAUCCUUGCGAUAUAUGGAUUAUCGAUUUUUACCAUAAUAAAAGUGGUUUUUUUUCGGUUUUAAAUAUGAUGCAUAUUUCUGUUUGAAAAAAAAAAAAAAAACAAAGGCAUGCUUGUAUGAAACAAACUAAAAAGAGGAAACCUUUCUCCUCGAAAAUUUUCUCUAUUUUAUUGAUUUUUUUUUUUAAAAACGAGAUUAAUGAAUCUAUUUGUAUCACUUUUUUGAAUCUCUUAAAAGUAAUGUUAAGAUUAUCAUGAUUUGAAUUUGAAAUGAGUUUUAUCAAAAUUAUGAUCUUGAUUUCUUGAAAUAACAUGAGAUUACCUUUGAUGAUCAUUUUGAUUAUUUUGAUUCAUGGAAUUUUUGAUUCAUGACUUGAUCUUUCAUUUGUUUAUGAGAUGAUUGAAAUCUUUAUACCUUUGAAUUCUUCCCUUCUCCUUUUAAUUUUUGAAAUUAUGCAUGUUAUAUGUUGGAGAUUUGAAACCAUGUUUUGAUAUCAUGUAUAUCCAAGAAAUGUUGAUUUGACAAAUUGAAUGAAUUGAAAAUGAAUAAUGAUUUUUCUCUUGAUUAUAACUUAUGAUAUUAUGAAUCAUCAUCUUGAUUUCUCGAUAUUUGAUACAUGAAAUUUUUCUAUGAAUCAAGAUUUUUUCAUGCUAUGAUUCUUCUUGGUAUUCACUAAAAAUGAUGUAUUCAAAUUAACCAUGAUAUGCUACUUGACAUCUUGAUAAUUUAUGACUUGAAUUUUAUUAUGUAAAAUUUCUUAUAUUCAUGAAAUGUUUAUCUCAUCACGAAAAUUCUCUUGAUAUUUUGAAUGUGAUGAAAUGAAAUUAAGCAUGAAAUACAAAUGAGAAGUUAAUGAUCAUGCAUGAUAGGACGUAAUGAAUUUUGACAUUUAGAUACCAUCAUUUGAAAAGCUAUGAUCAUGUUGCCAAAAUGAUAUAUCAUGAAUGCUUGAAUAUCAUGUAUGAUAUGCCCAUAAUGAUGAUUGAUUUAUUUGUAUCAUGCAUGAAGUAAGGAUACAAAUGUAAGGUUUUGAAAUUAUGCAUAUUUCAAGUUAAAACCAUAAUGAUGCACAAACAUAUUGAAAUAAGAUUGAUAAUUUACCUUUGUCAUAAUCUGAAAAUUGAUAUAAAGGGUCUUCCCUUCUUUUUGACAAUGACAACGGGGGAGAUAAAAGAUGCUAGCUCGCACAACUCAAGAAGAAAGCAAAAAAUUGCACUUCUCAAAAGAGAAGAAAGAACUUGCUUCUUGAACAUCUCAAAUUAUUAGCUUCCAUAUUGUAAAAUAAUGUAACAUUUUUUUAGCUUUGCAAAGGAAGCAAAAAUAAUCGGACUUCUUAAAAGAGAAGAAAUUGCUAUCUUAAACAUCACCAAGAAUUGCUAGCUUGAAAUCUCAAGAAGCAAAACAUGCUAAACCUACAUAUCUAGCAAAAUUUACAAACUUGCAAAACUCAAAAUUUUCACUAGCUUACAUGAUGAUAAAACUGGAGAUUAUAUUUUUCAUGUAAUGAUUUGAACUUGUAUGCUCAAACACAUGAGAAUUGAACUUCUCCUUUUUGUUGAUGACAAAAGGGGAGAAGUAUGUUGAUGUCAUGCAUGAUUUGAUCAUGACAUGUUGCUUGGAUUUUUGAAUCCAAGGGUUUCUAUCAAUAUGGCAUAUUUAUAGGAGUAGUUUGUUUAAACUCCGGGAGUUAAGGUUAACUCCGUCAUCAAUUAUUUGUCAUCAUCAAAAAGGGGGAGAUUGUUGAAUCUCGUAUUUUGAUGAUGAAACCAAUUGAUAAGUAUUUAUAUUUUAAUAUGCAUUUUGAGUGACGUAAGAUGCUUCGAUCAGGAUGAGACAAUCAAAGCAGGAAGAAUCAUAUUGUGCCGGAGGAAAACAUGUCAGAAGAUUGGACGUCGGGCUGAAGGAUCGGUCGACGUAUCGAUAGAAGGCUUCGGGUAUCGGGCCAAGAAGAGCGAAUAUUGCGCUAAGGAUAUUGGAGUUGCAAAGUCAACUGGCCGCCGAUUGGGCAAUAGGCCGCAAGAGAGAACGAUGCGCCGAAGAAUCGGACGAAGCGUCGAGGGACCAAUGACAUGCCGGACAACAUGAUUAAUGCUUAGUAUUAAUUGUCUAGAUCGAAGUGUAUUUUAUAUGUGCAGGAUUAACUACGAUAGUAAGGCAUGAAGCAAAAUGAAGUCCCGGGGUCAAGGACGUGAUUUCGUUGGGAGUUCAAGAGUUCGUCGGAAGUCCGGACGUUCGUCGAAAGUUCUGGCGGAACCAGCCGAGAAAUCUCGAAGCUUGCUAGAGAAGCUCGUCGGAACUCGCCAAGAAGAUCGUCGUGAAGUCCAAGAGCUUGCCGGGAGUUUGCCGGAACAUUGCCGGAAGAUCGCCGGAAGCUCGUCGGAAGAAUAGACUUACGGACUUGUGUAGCUCAGAUUAUGUCUUAAAUUUCGUAGUUAGCACGUAAUUGGGUUUGGAUUUGGGCCAACCCAAUUAGGGGCCAGCAAUGCCCAUGUAAAGACUGUAUUGGGCCCAAUGAGAGGCCCAAACAGUGCUCCAAGAAGUCUCACCGUCAUGGCACAGUCUUCGAGACUAUGUCAGGCGGUGGUACCGCUAGUCUGGGCGAUUGUACCGCCCUUGGCAGGGUGCUAGGCGAUGGUACCGCCCAACACAGCACCCUAGGCGAUAGUACCGCCUAGUGCAGUGUCAGUCUCAGACUGACUCUGGGCGAUGGUACCGCCCGUGCCCGGGAAACUCGGGAUGAGAUGUUUUUAGACUCGAAGUUUGAAUCAACUUGAAGCCUAUAAAUACCCCUCUCAUCCCUGGUUAAAAGACACAAGCAUAGAGAGUUUAAAAGUAGAAAAACGUUGUAGAAAUCUCUUGUGAAAAUCCUCCUCUAGUCUAAGUGUUAAAAUUCUGUAAGAGAGGAGUGAGUGCUUGUAAGGGUUGUCUCCUAAACCCGGUAAAAGAAGAAGAGGGGUGUAAGAAGGAGGUUGAUCUUCGCCUAUUAAAGGAAGAUCGAUAGUGGAUGCCGAUAGCCUCGACGGAGGAGGAAUCAGCGAAGUGGAUGUAGGUCACGACGACCGAACCACUAUAAAAUUGACGUGUUCUCUGGUUUGCAUUUACUUCCUGCCAUUUACAUACUGCAAACUGAAUCUUUACUUGCCUACUGCAUUCACUUCAUAAAUGUAUGCUUUCAAAGUUAAGUUUCCGAAAUCGGUUUUCAUCGGAAUCGGUUUUAAUCGAAACGAAAAGUUUUGAAGACGUGAUUUUACCGCUGCACUAAUUCACCCCCCCCUCUUAGUGCCGACCCCGAUCCUAACAUCAACAAUCAUUUAAAAUUACAAAUAUAAUAGAUCUUCGCUUCAUUUAGAACUUAGUUCCUCCACUGGAAAAUGAACAGUCAAAUAGUCUUCUGCAAGAAAAAAAGAACAGUCUUUUAUUACAUUAAAAGGUUUAUUAGUAGCAAUCCUCAACAUUUAUACGUGUACAUGCUAUAACCCUUCUUGUUACAUGCAGUUUAAGACAGUUUAGAGGUCAGCUCAUGCCCAAUCUGAGUUUCAAGCAUGUAUGCCUGGAAGUAUCUAAAUCAAUCAUUAUAACUAAAACCACAAAUGCAACAUCACAUUUGAUGUGUAUUUUUCACUAAAACCACUGACCUGAUACACAGAAAAAAAAAUAUAAAUCCUUUUCAGAGCAUUCCACAUGUUUACACAUGAUGGCUAUUCAAUAUAUCUAAUUUCUUGCAUAAUCACAUUUUCCUACAGUAAAUAAGAAAAAUAACAUUUACAACUUUACAGAGUUGUAAAUAAGUAUCUACAGUACCAGAAUGAUAUUCAUGACAGAUUCUGAAUUUAAAUAGGCAUCUGUAAUAUUUACAACUUUACAGACUUAACUGUGACAAUAUAAAAAAACUGCGAUAUUAUGUGUGAACAAAGGUACCUACAAGAUUUGACAAAAUAAAAUAUACUGAUGAUGCAAAAAAGCAAUAGUUUUCUAUCAAGAGAAAAAAAUAUUAAAUACACAUCCUUCGUAUCAUUUGAAGAAAAAUCUGGAAAUCAAGUCUACAAAAAAGGAAAAGUACAACAUAUGAGAUCUAUAAAUGUAUCAAUUGACUAGUAGAAUAAGUUGAUGCACAUCCACUAUGCCUAUGAAAGCCUUCCAACAUAUAGAGAAAAUAAAAAU